rfam:Toxocara canis scaffold473, whole genome shotgun sequence.
GCGGCAAUAGCUCAGUGAUACAGCCCCGCUUCGCGUGCGGGGAGGUCCGGGUUCGAUUCCCGGCUGCUUCC